UUCAAAGGAUACCUAAAAAAUUAUCUGCAAGCUGAUUGGCUAGUGGCAAGCAGAGAUGCGACUUACGGGCGAGAAAAUUUAGUGGAGGGAACGUCGGUACUAGCUUCAUAGGACAUGUUUUGGGUUUUGAUUUGUUUACGUUUUCCUCAGUCAGACAGUUGUCUUUUAGGCGCUGUGUUGUUCGUGUGUUUUGUUAGUUUUUCCUUAUUUUCAUUUUGUUUUGGACGUUUUGCUUGUUAUGCGAUGACUGAGUGAUUUUGUUGUUUUAUUUGUGUUUGUGUUGUCCGCAGUAUGUGCUAAUUUAGAAUGUCUGGAGUAACGUUGGCUGGUGGGCAGCCUUCAGGAGGCAAUACAGACGUGGGAGAUGGAGGUGGAAGA